CAGUCGCCGCGGGAAUACGUAGGGCGCAAGCGUUAUCCGGAAUUAUUGGGCGUAAAGAGCUCGUAGGCGGUUUGUCGCGUCUGCCGUGAAAGUCCGGGGCUCAACCCCGGAUCUGCGGUGGGUACGGGCAGACUAGAGUGAUGUAGGGGAGACUGGAAUUCCUGGUGUAGCGGUGAAAUGCGCAGAUAUCAGGAGGAACACCGAUGGCGAAGGCAGGUCUCUGGGCAUUAACUGACGCUGAGGAGCGACAGCGUGGGGAGCAAACAGGAUUAGAUACCCCAGUAGUCCCUGUCUCUUAUAC
rnacentral:rRNA from 1 species